GAUGAACGCUGGCGGCGUGCCUAAUACAUGCAAGUCGAGCGAACGGACGAGAAGCUUGCUUCUCUGAUGUUAGCGGCGGACGGGUGAGUAACACGUGGAUAACCUACCUAUAAGACUGGGAUAACUUCGGGAAACCGGAGCUAAUACCGGAUAAUAUUUUGAACCGCAUGGUUCAAAAGUGAAAGACGGUCUUGCUGUAACUUAUAGAUGGAUCCGCGCUGCAUUAGCUAGUUGGUAAGGUAACGGCUUACCAAGGCAACGAUGCAUAGCCGACCUGAGAGGUUGAUCGGCCACACUGGAACUGAGACACGGUCCAGACUCCUACGGGAGGCAGCAGUAGGGAAUCUUCCGCAAUGGGCGAAAGCCUGACGGAGCAACGCCGCGUGAGUGAUGAAGGUCUUCGGAUCGUAAAACUCUGUUAUUAGGGAAGAACAUAUGUGUAAGUAACUGUGCACAUCUUGACGGUACCUAAUCAGAAAGCCCCGGCUAACUACGUG
rnacentral:rRNA from 1 species